UACGAAGGGGGCUAGCGUUGUUCGGAAUUACUGGGCGUAAAGGGCUCGUAGGCGGCCAACUAAGUCAGACGUGAAAUCCCUCGGCUUAACCGGGGAACUGCGUCUGAUACUGGAUGGCUCGAGUUUGGGAGAGGGAUGCGGAAUUCCAGGUGUAGCGGUGAAAUGCGUAGAUAUCUGGAGGAACACCGGUGGCGAAGGCGGCAUCCUGGACCAACACUGACGCUGAUGAGCGAAAGCCAGGGGAGCAAACGGG
rnacentral:rRNA from 1 species